rnacentral:lncRNA from 1 species
GUUAAAGGCCAACUCAUUCCCUUCACUUCCCACAUUUUUUUUAAACAGAAGUUUCCAAUCAAGCCAUUUAUUUCUAGAAUGUUACCGGCAUCACCUAUAAACAGGAGCCAUCUACUGUCAUGUUUAAUAUUGCUUGUGUUUCAUAAAUUGCUUGUAUUUCAUUACUGCUUGUAUUUCAUAAAUUGGUGCAAAUACUCAGAACUUGCAAAAAUAAUUACCAUUCAAAACCAAGAAAUAAAGAAAUAAUGAUAUGCUUGUUUGUAGUAUUAUGACUAAAUACAAAUUUACUGGAAAGCUCUGCUCAUAAACUCCAUUUUCUUUCUGAGAAGCUGGCUUCACAAAUUGGAAAAUAAUACUUUUAUGCAUAUAUUUUCUCAUUCAACAAAUAUUUGUAGAAAGCCUGCCCUGCUGUGUGCCAGGCACUGUGUUAGGCCUGAUACAAUGAUAAACAGGAGAGGGGAUACAAUAACGAAUAGGAGAGUUGUGACCUCUGCCCUCAGGAACAGGGCACUUGUGGUGCAGACAGAUAAGUAAACACACUGCCAUGUGUGAGGAGCGCCAGGGCAGGGAAAGGGGAAUGUGCCCUGGGAGCACACACCAGGAACCCCAGACCCACACUUCAUGGUUGCAGAGAUGAGCAACCUUGCUUGUGCUUGCUCAAGCGAAACACAGUCAACUGCUCCGGUGUCACUCGCUCCUCAAGUGGCCUGAAGCCGUCCAGCGGUCUCGUUACAGAUUCACAUGAAGUCCCAGGAUAGCUUCUGUCGGCUUUGGUGGCCUGUUGCAGCAGCCAGCAGCAGGAAACUUGAGGAGCUAUCAUCUCAGGAAUGAACGGGGCCACAUCAAUAAGGAGACCUGUAAUGAUGUGGCUCUAAAUGUCAGCUUUAAAAGCCUGGGAAUUGAUAGAGGAAGAGAGAAGAAAGGGUGUCCCAGUUUUCCACAUGCCGAAUGAUUCAGCAAAAUAAUGUGAGCAAGUCAAGACUCUGGAAAAUAUUUUUAGAUGCCAAACAAAAACCUGGAGGUGUGAGAGAACACACUACAC